rnacentral:lncRNA from 1 species
AUUGGCAGUUGGCCCUUCAGCUGCUGUACAGCCUCGGUAGGGGCCCAGGGGUAUUGAAUCUGGUUUUGGACCACAGGAGGAGAGUGAAGUGAAGUACAACCAAUAUUGUCAACAGCAAGAUCGUCAAAAACACCCCCAAAGAUAACGCUUAGAAAUAAUUUCUACCAGCUAUCUGCAUCAAGUUGACUUAAUCCAGUCAAGUUGACACAAAAUUAACCAUCACACACUCUGCAAGGAAAACAACUGCCUUGGAAGGUAGCUAACCUGCGGUGAACUUUGUGUGAUAGAGAAACAAAAUUUGUUUCUUUCUUUAGGAGUUGCUUUCUACUGUACCAUGAGUCCAACUAAGCCUAUCUAAAAUAGGGCUGGUGAUACACACUUCUCUCAUCUGGAGCUUCAUGGGUGAAUUCCAAAUUCUUCUGUCCCAUGAUCUGCAUCAAGGCAUCUAAUUUAUACUUAAAAGCUUUUGUUACUAAAUUUGGACUCUGUCCAAAAUAACCACUCACUGCAUGCUGUUAUUGCCUACCAUUAUUUUUAAAAAAAUACUUUUCAUAAUCUGAAGCUAUCCGGUAUUGAAUGUUUACCAUGAGUUUCCUGCUGCUAGAAGGUAAACUUAGUGAGAACAGAGACACAAAUAACUUUUUUUCACUAUCGCAUCCUCAUUGCCUAGAAGAGUGCCUGGCGUACAGAAGACAGUCAAUAGAUAUCAGUUGAAUAAAUGAAUGACCUAGCAUAGUAGACAUUCAAUAAAUAUCAGUUGAAUGAAUGAAUGAGCCGACAUAUAGUAGGCAUUCUAUAAAUAUCAGUUGAAUGAAUGACGAACAGCAGGAAAGAGAUAAAGUGAUGGUAAAGAGUGAUUGAGCAUGGAAUGAGCGGUUUUCUUUGUGUGUGUGUGUGUGUGUGUGUGUGUGUGUGUUUUGUAACAGAUAAUUAGAAAAUACCUUUUCUGAGCAACUGAUGACAUUUGACCAGAACUGGAAUGAUGAAAGCAGGACUAUUUUAUCUACUAGGAAUUAUAAGCAUAAUGCCUGUGACUAAGAGUUUUUCAGCACCUGGGAAAGUGUUUCAGGCCUGGAAAAAUAUUACUGGCAUUAAUUUAUGAAAAGAAUACAGCAAAAUUGAAACCAACAAUAUUUAUUUAAAUGCAUAC